rnacentral:rRNA from 1 species
CCAAUAGCGUAUAUUAAAGUUGUUGCAGUUAAAAAGCUCGUAGUUGAAUUUCGGGAUCAAUUAAUUGGUCGUGCCUCUGGUACGUACUGAUUUUAUUGGUUUCUCCCUUCUGACGAACCAUCAUGUCAUUAAUUUGAUGUGGUGGAGAAUCAGGACUGUUACUUUGAAAAAAUUAGAGUGUUUAAAGCAAGCUAACGCUUGAAUACAUUAGCAUGGAAUA